UUUUUCAUAUUUGAAGAUUCAAUAAAGCUUGUUCAAGAGAGAACACAUCUGGAGAACAAGGAGAAGGGAUCACCAGAGAAGAGGAAAAAUAUUAGAGUCAUACAUUGCAUCACUCCAGAUAACACAUAUGGAGAAAAAAGAGAAGGGAUCAGCAGAGAAGAAGAAGAUUAGACUCGUAUGUUGCAUCACUCCAAGUAAGGGGAGUGAAAACAUUCAUUUUAGGGGAUUGGGUGUAUGGAAGAAGGAUAAAGGGAUUGGUCCCUAAUCCCAUAAGUUUUCUGUUUAAUGAAAUGAUGUGUGUGUUUGAUGUGAUUGGUCAAGUAGAUUUUGAAUAUGUAAUUUAUUUGAUGAUCAUAUGCUUUAUAUUAAUUAAUUAAGUGCUCUGUAGAAAUGAGUUAGAACCCUAGAGGGAUUGACCCCCAAUCCCAUAAGUUUUCUGUUUGAUGAGAUGUUGUUUACGCUUGAUGUAAUUGUCGAGUAGAUUAUGAAUAUGUAAUGUAUUUGAUGAUUAGAUGUCUUAGAGUAAUUAAUUGAGUGUUCUUUAGAAAGGGGUUAGAACCCUAAGGGGAGAAAUUUGAUGAAUUCAAGGGGGGUAAAAGUUGUAAACGCUAAAAUUGGUGAAUUUCUUGGAUGUGGAAUGAGCCCUAAGUGUUUGUAAAUUGUAUGAUUGUUUGUAGUAAUGUUUAUUUUGAGAGAUAUUGUUUCGAUGCUGGUGAUUGGGUAAUGGAUCACGAGCGACACCAAGCUCGAGUACUUGAUGCUAGGCAUGUUGGCAUCAGGCAUGGAAAUGACCACGUCGAGCGUGAGAUGUUUUGGUGCUCUUUAUCGUAGCUUAAAGCCAGGUGCGGCCCAGGGAAGCAGAGCACGAGAAAGAGUAGGUGUUCUCUAUUGUAACUUAAAGUCGGGUGUGGGUUUUCAAACCCGGCGUGGAUUGCCAGGAGGCUUAUUAUGAUGGUUAUGACUGUUUAUAUGAUGAUGAAUGUAUAUACAUACUUCAUGAAUGAUGAUUUCUAUCUUGGUGGAUG